UGGCGGCGUGCUUAACACAUGCAAGUCGAACGGGGAUUAAGUGGAAAGGCUCGGCCCGGAAGACUUAAGUCGAGUGGCGGACGGGUGAGUAACGCGUGAGCAACCUGUCCCAGACAGGGGGAUAACACUUGGAAACAGGUGCUAAUACCGCAUAAGACCACGGGGUCACAUGGCUCUGGAGGUAAAAGGAGCAAUCCGGUUUGGGGUGGGCUCGCGUCCGGAUUAGAUAGUUGGUGAGGUAACGGCCCACCAAGUCGACGAUCGGUAGCCGACCUGAGAGGGUGAUCGGCCACAUUGGAACUGAGAGACGGUCCAAACUCCUACGGGAGGCAGCAGUGGGGAAUAUUGGGCAAUGGGCGAAAGCCUGACCCAGCAACGCCGCGUGAGUGAAGAAGGCCUUCGGGUUGUAAAGCUCUGUUAUAGGGGACGAAGGAAGUGACGGUACCCUAUAAGGAAGCCCCGGCUAACUACGUGCCAGCAGCAGC
rnacentral:rRNA from 1 species